rnacentral:rRNA from 1 species
CCUACGGGGGGCUGCAGUGGGGAAUAUUGGACAAUGGGGGGAACCCUGAUCCAGCCAUGCCGCGUGUGUGAAGAAGGCCCUCGGGUUGUAAAGCACUUUCAGUGAGGAAGAACGCCUGGUGGUUAAUACCCAUCAGGAAAGACAUCACUCACAGAAGAAGCACCGGCUAACUCCGUGCCAGCAGCCGCGGUAAUACGGAGGGUGCGAGCGUUAAUCGGAAUUACUGGGCGUAAAGCGCGCGUAGGUGGCUUGAUAAGCCGGUUGUGAAAGCCCCGGGCUCAACCUGGGAACGGCAUCCGGAACUGUCAAGCUAGAGUGCAGGAGAGGAAGGUAGAAUUCCCGGUGUAGCGGUGAAAUGCGUAGAGAUCGGGAGGAAUACCAGUGGCGAAGGCGGCCUUCUGGACUGACACUGACACUGAGGUGCGAAAGCGUGGGUAGCAAACAGGAUUAGAUACACUUGUAGUC